GGGGCGGUAGAUCAAUUGGUUAGAGCACCGGACUGUCGAUCCGGAGGUUGCGGGUUCGAUUCCCGUCCGCCUCG
rnacentral:tRNA from 1 species